CACGUAGUUAGCCGUGGCUUAUUCAAGGGGUACCGUCUUCUACUCUUCCCCCUUAAAAGAAGUUUACAACCCGAAAGCCUUCUUCCUUCACGCGGCGUUGCUGGGUCAGACUUGCGUCCAUUGCCCAAUAUUCCCCACUGCUGCCUCCCGUAGGAGUCUGGGCCGUAUCUCAGUCCCAAUGUGGCCGGCCAACCUCUCAGUCCGGCUACUGAUCGUCGCCUUGGUGGGCCGUUACCUCACCAACUAGCUAAUCAGACGCGAGGCCAUCUUCCAGCGAUAAAUCUUUGACAUCAAAGCCAUGCGACUUCAAUGCAUCAUGCGGUAUUAGCAGUCGUUUCCAACUGUUGUCCCCCUCUGGAAGGCAGGUUCCUCACGCGUUACUCACCAGUCCGCCACUAAGCAUUCCCAUCCGUUGUCCGAAAACUCCUUCAGGGGUGCUCCGUUCGACUUGCAUGUGUUAAGCACGCCGCCAGCGUUCGUCCUGAGCCAGGAUCAAACUCU
rnacentral:rRNA from 1 species